CCUACGGGUGGCAGCAGUGGGGAAUAUUGCACAAUGGGGGGAACCCUGAUGCAGCAACGCCGCGUGAGUGAAGAAGUAUCUCGGUAUGUAAAGCUCUAUCAGCAGGGAAGAAAAUGACGGUACCUGACUAAGAAGCACCGGCUAAAUACGUGCCAGCAGCCGCGGUAAUACGUAUGGUGCAAGCGUUAUCCGGAUUUACUGGGUGUAAAGGGAGCGCAGGCGGCGCGGCAAGUCAGAUGUGAAAGCCCGGGGCUCAACCCCGGGACUGCAUUUGAAACUGCCGGGCUGGAGUGUCGGAGAGGCAAGUGGAAUUCCUAGUGUAGCGGUGAAAUGCGUAGAUAUUAGGAGGAACACCAGUGGCGAAGGCGGCUUGCUGGACGAUCACUGACGCUGAGGCUCGAAAGCGUGGGGAGCAAACAGGAUUAGAUACCCGUGUAGUC
rnacentral:rRNA from 1 species